UACGUAGGUGGCAAGCGUUUGUCCGGAUUUACUGGGCGUAAAGAGCGCGCAGGCGGUCGUUCAAGUCGCGUGUGAAAGCCCCCGGCUCAACUGGGGAGGGUCACGCGAUACUGAUCGACUGGAAGGCAGGAGAGGGUAGUGGAAUUCCCGGUGUAGUGGUGAAAUGCGUAGAUAUCGGGAGGAACACCAGUGGCGAAGGCGGGCAUCUGGGCCAACACUGACGCUGAGGCGCGAAAGCUAGGGGAGCAAACAGG
rnacentral:rRNA from 1 species